UUUAUGGAGAGUUUGAUCCUGGCUCAGGAUGAACGCUGGCGGCGUGCCUAAUACAUGCAAGUCGAGCGAACGGACGAGAAGCUUGCUUCUCUGAUGUUAGCGGCGGACGGGUGAGUAACACGUGGAUAACCUACCUAUAAGACUGGGAUAACUUCGGGAAACCGGAGCUAAUACCGGAUAAUAUUUUGAACCGCAUGGUUCAAAAGUGAAAGACGGUCUUGCUGUCACUUAUAGAUGGAUCCGCGCUGCAUUAGCUAGUUGGUAAGGUAACGGCUUACCAAGGCAACGAUGCAUAGCCGACCUGAGAGGGUGAUCGGCCACACUGGAACUGAGACACGGUCCAGACUCCUACGGGAGGCAGCAGUAGGGAAUCUUCCGCAAUGGGCGAAAGCCUGACGGAGCAACGCCGCGUGAGUGAUGAAGGUCUUCGGAUCGUAAAACUCUGUUAUUAGGGAAGAACAUAUGUGUAAGUAACUGUGCACAUCUUGACGGUACCUAAUCAGAAAGCCACGGCUAACUACGUGCCAGCAGCCGCGGUAAUACGUAGGUGGCAAGCGUUAUCCGGAAUUAUUGGGCGUAAAGCGCGCGUAGGCGGUUUUUUAAGUCUGAUGUGAAAGCCCACGGCUCAACCGUGGAGGGUCAUU
rnacentral:rRNA from 1 species